ACAUCUAUAUUUCAUUUUCAUAACUAGAAUUCAAACACAAGUCACUUAUCAAGCAUUAUCAUUUUCGGCUCAAUAGCUACAUACAAGGAGCAUGAUUUUGAUUUACUUAAAACAUGAUCUAAUCGAAUCAUAAUCUAAGAUCCAUUACUCAAAAACUUACCUCAGAUGUUGUCGAACGAUUUCGGCGACUAUUCGAUCACUUUUUCCUUUCCCUUAUCCAACUUUG
rnacentral:lncRNA from 1 species